AUUGAACGCUGGCGGCAGGCCUAACACAUGCAAGUCGAGCGAGCGGCGGACGGGUGAGUAAUUUAUGGGGCGCUGCCAGAUAGAGGGGGAUAACUAAUGGAAACGGUGGCUAAUACCGCCUACUAUCGGAUGCACCCAUAUGGGAUUCGCUAGUAGGUGGGGUAAAGUCGCACCCAGGAGACGAUCUCUAGCUGGUCUUAGAGGAUGAUCAGCCACACUGGGAGUGGGAAACGGCCCAGACUCCUACGGGAGGCAGCAGUGGGGAAUAUUGCACAAUGGGCGCAAGCCUGAUGCAGCCAGUGCGCGUGUAUGAAGAAGGCCUUAGUGUUGUAAAGUACUUUCAGCGGGGAGGCGUUACCCGCAGAAGAAGCACCGGCUAACUCCGUGCCAGCAGCCGCGGUAAUAC
rnacentral:rRNA from 1 species